GAGUGUUGAAAUUAAAGCAAUGGGGAUACAGUCCUAAAGUCUGUGUUUGAAUUCUAUGUUAUUGAGUUUUCUAAAAAAUAAGCUGUCAGGGGCCAAAACAUCGUCCAGUUUGCUGAAGACGGCUAUACAUCUAUUGAAUAGAGAUUUAUUAUUUGAAAUGUGUUUUGAUUGUUUUGUGGCGAUAUCGUCUAUAAUGACGAAUUUGGUGCGAAAAUACCAAGAAUGAGAAUUCUAUUGUGGAUAAUUGUUCUCGAGUGACAGCAGUCCCAGCAAAGAGGAAGUAAAAGCUCAUUUGGGAUUGUAUUAAGUGAGGAACAAUGAAGAAAAAAAUAUUUGCAGGAAGACCGGAUUGGAUUUUAGGCCAUUUCAACAAUCUCAUCACAAGCAGGAUAAAAAAUUCAGAAAUAGAGAGAUGCUGAUUCAAAUCUCUGUUAUUAUGAAUCACGUUCUUUGUUGGCUUAACGUUCUGCUAUUUGCUUAUGAAAUAUUCGUAAAAGGAGCAGAACUUUCUGCUAAACAAGAACUGGCUAGCAAGGCAGUAAAAAUCCUGACUAUUUUACUCAAAUAUCUGCUUCAUCAUCGCCAAAAGGCUAUAGUAAAAAUGUUGAUACACAUUUCUAAAGAAUAUGAUAAAAUUACAGACAAGCAAAGGUAUUUGAAUAAAAGUGUUAUAUCCAUUGCUAUUGUUCUUAAUUUUGGCGUCCUAAUAAUAUUGUACUCAUUGGUUUUUUUAGAAAAUAUCGAAGCAACUGGAAGAUCAUUUAAGGAUUAUA